rnacentral:rRNA from 1 species
UACGUAGGGGGCAAGCGUUAUCCGGAUUUACUGGGUGUAAAGGGAGCGCAGACGGCAGUGCAAGUCCGGAGUGAAAGCCCGGGGCCCAACCCCGGAACUGCUCUGGAAACUGUGCGGCUAGAGUACUGGAGGGGCAGGCGGAAUUCCUAGUGUAGCGGUGAAAUGCGUAGAUAUUAGGAGGAACACCAGUGGCGAAGGCGGCCUGCUGGACAGUAACUGACGUUGAGGCUCGAAAGCGUGGGGAGCAAACAGG